GUUCUGAGUCUGGAUACAGGAUUUCUGCAGAUCUUGACCAAAGACAGUCUGACGCUGAGGUGUGAGGUUGAGGGAAGCUCUGUUGGAUGGAGCUACACGUGGUACGCAGAUGGAUCUCAGCUUCCUGAAGACCAGGAUGGACAGACCUUCACUGUGAGAUCUGGGAAUGGCUCCUAUCACAGGGAAUACAGAUGUAGAGGGAACAGAACUGAAGAACCAUUUUACUCCACAAUCAGCAAUGGUUUGGUGCCCAACCACAUUAGACUGCAGUAUGUUAGUGGGGUGUCUGGCUCCCUGGUUGGCAUCAUAAGCCUGGUGCUGAUCACAGUUUGUGUGAAAUAUUGCAGGAAGUCAUCAGGUCAAAGGGGCAAAGAGGAGGAAACAUUUUACUGUGAGGUUAGAUUAGAAGACGUGUGUGCAGGAGACGCAGACCAACCUCCCACCAUUUAUGCAGAGGUCAGUCAUGCAGCAGGAACAGCAGGUGCUCAGGAACAUGGCUGUUCAUUUGUUGUUCAGUUAAAGUCUUCAGAUUGAACUAGCAUCAUAACUACAGUAAAUAUCUUUUUUUUAACAUUAAGAUUUGUUAUAGAAUGUGGAGAUUAUGGCACUUUUAUGUUACUCCAUUUGUUUUAUAUGUCAGCUACACAUCUGAUAAAGUAAAUGCAUUGUAUUUUUGAAUUUUAUUAACAUCUGUAUUGAUGGAGAAUGUGUGCAGUUCUUUAUUGUUUUUAGAUCUUGCUCUGCUUGUUAGGUUUUAAAAUAAAUUAACUGGUUGGAUGCUUGUGGCUUGAGAGUGAAACAGAAACUUCAAAAGAACUGGCUAGUGUGUCGCUUUGGACAGACGCUUUUGCUAAACAAAUGAGUAAAUGCAGCUGUUUUUUCAUGAGUGUGGCUCAGUGCUGCCUGUGCUGUUGUUAAGCGAUUCAGUGGUUGCAGUAUCUUUACAAAUAAUCGAAACACCACAACCUUUGCACUGUCCUUCAACAAGCACUCAGUGCUCUGCUGAAGUCUUUUAAAAGUGUUUCUGUAUCGUUUUGUUCCCACAUUUGCAAUCUGUGACAGAUAUUCUCUCAAGCUGUGUUUUUCUGUAAUAGAUUCAAUAAUGGCUUGGGAGAGAUCCACACUUCAGAAUGUACAGGGACAAUUACAAAUCCCACCAUGUUUGUUGGUCUCCUGCAUCCUAUUUUUUAUUUUAUUUUUUACUGGAAUAAAAUGCAUGUUCUCA